GUGAAUCAGAAGAUAAUGGAGCAGUCUAGCAGAAUAUGGAACCUUUCAACUUCCGCUAACGAAUUUAAGUGGAGAAAGAUGGCAGAACUGGAGUCUUGAGGAAGACCCAAAGUGAUGAAAGCCUGGAGGAGGACUUAGAAACAAAGAAAAACUGAAAAAGGCUUUUGAAAAACCAGUAGCCAUGGAGCUUAAGCUCAUAGGCAAAUACUGAACAGAAAAUGUGAAACCAGAUGAAGAGAAUGAAAAGAGGAACUUAAGACAUUCUACUGUCAAGUUGUUACUGGAAUUGUGCUUUUCCCCAACGGAUGCUUCGGCCAAGACUAGGCAUGAUUAGGAUGACUUAUCUUUGCAGUCCUUCAACUGAAGUGCAAAAUCUAUGGACAACCUGGAUGCAGAUUAUAAA